AUGUUUAUUCCAAGGCAGAAAUGUGCUUCCAUAGAUUCUGCUUUUACCUUCUUUAGAUUUUUUUUUAUUGGUGGAGCAAAAAAUAGACAAAGUAACUGGACAACUGCGUCUAAAAUGUUGCCGAAUGAAUGUACCUUCUGCUGCAAUGCUAACCUGAAAAGAAGCCAACCAACAUACGAUGCAUAUACAUCCAACUCAAGUGCUGAAUUGACUGACUGUAUCUUACGGAAGAGCUCUGAACUUAAAAUCCUUCCACAUGACCCUGGCAUCCUCGCAGUCCUGUGUGCAAAUUGAAUGACACCCCACCUCUGCAUGUCUUCAAAGUUGAUGUGAUUGGAGCUUGGUACCUCAGACAUCACUGCUUUACUCCAGGCCCUGGUCAUCCCAUCCUCUUCAGCAUAGGCAAGGC
rnacentral:lncRNA from 1 species